rnacentral:rRNA from 1 species
UACGUAGGGUCCGAGCGUUGUCCGGAUUUAUUGGGCGUAAAGAGCGUGUAGGCGGCUUUACAGGUCCGUUGUGAAAACUCGAGGCUCAACCUCGAGACGCCGGUGGAAACCGUAAGGCUAGAGUCCGGAAGAGGAGAGUGGAAUUCCUGGUGUAGCGGUGAAAUGCGCAGAUAUCAGGAAGAACACCCGUGGCGAAGGCGGCUCUCUGGGACGGUACUGACGCUGAGACGCGAAAGCGUGGGGAGCGAACAGG